AUACGUAGGUGGCGAGCGUUGUCCGGAAUUAUUGGGCGUAAAGAGCAUGUAGGCGGCCUAUUAAGUCGAGCGUGAAAAUGCGGGGCUCAACCCCGUAUGGCGCUGGAAACUGGUAGGCUUGAGUGCAGGAGAGGAAAGGGGAAUUCCCAGUGUAGCGGUGAAAUGCGUAGAUAUUGGGAGGAACACCAGUGGCGAAGGCGCCUUUCUGGACUGUGUCUGACGCUGAGAUGCGAAAGCCAGGGUAGCGAACGGGAUUAGAUACCCCGGUAGUCCUGGCCGUAAACGAUGGGUACUAGGUGUAGGAGGUAUCGACCCCUUCUGUGCCGCAGUUAACACAAUAAGUAUUCCGCCUGGGGAGUACGGCCGCAAGGUUGAAACUCAAAUGAAUUGGCGGGG
rnacentral:rRNA from 1 species